AGUCAAUUUCUGCCCAUUGAAAAAAUUUAAAAGGCUGCGGUAUUUUAACUGUACAAAGGUAGCAAAAUAAAUAGUUUUUUAAUUGAAAACUUGAAUGAAAGAGUUAAUAAAAUAUAAAUUGUCUCAAAUUAAUAAAAAAUAAUUUAAAUUAAAAGUAAAAAUACUUUUAUAUUUUUAUUAGACGAUAAGACCCUAAGAAUUUGAUUAUUUAUAUUUUUAUUUAAUUUUUAUAAUAAAUAUAUAAAAAUAUAAAUUAUUUUAUUGGGAGGGUAAAUAAAUUUUUAAACUUUAGUUUUAAUAAAAUAUUUUUAGAUAAAUUUUUAAUGAUUAUUAUUAAGAUUAUAAGAAUAAAUUACCUUAGGGAUAACAGCGUGAUAAUUUUGGAGAGUUCAUAUUGAUAAAAUUGUUUACGACCUCGAUGUUGAAUUAAAAUAAAAAUUAAAUGGAGAAAUUUAAAAUUUUAGUCUGUUCGACUAUUAAAAUUUUAC
rnacentral:rRNA from 1 species